GAUGAACGCUGGCGGCGUGCCUAAUACAUGCAAGUCGAGCGAACGGACGAGAAGCUUGCUUCUCUGAUGUUAGCGGCGGACGGGUGAGUAACACGUGGAUAACCUACCUAUAAGACUGGGAUAACUUCGGGAAACCGGAGCUAAUACCGGAUAAUAUUUUGAACCGCAUGGUUCAAAAGUGAAAGACGGUCUUGCUGUCACUUAUAGAUGGAUCCGCGCUGCAUUAGCUAGUUGGUAAGGUAACGGCUUACCAAGGCAACGAUGCAUAGCCGACCUGAGAGGGUGAUCGGCCGCACUGGAACUGAGACACGGUCCAGACUCCUACGGGAGGCAGCAGUAGGGAAUCUUCCGCAAUGGGCGAAAGCCUGACGGAGCAACGCCGCGUGAGUGAUGAAGGUCUUCGGAUCGUAAAACUCUGUUAUUAGGGAAGAACAUAUGUGUAAGUAGCUGUGCACAUCUUGACGGUACCUAAUCAGAAAGCCACGGCUAACUACGUG
rnacentral:rRNA from 1 species